rnacentral:rRNA from 1 species
UACGAAGGGUGCUAGCGUUGUUCGGAAUCAUUGGGCGUAAAGCGUACGUAGGCGGUUAGGUAAGUCGAUCGUGAAAGCCCUGGGCUUAACUCAGGAAUUGCGAUUGAAACUGCUUAGCUAGAGUAUGGUAGGGGAUAGUGGAAUUCCUAGUGUAGGGGUGAAAUCCGUAGAUAUUAGGAGGAAUACCGGUGGCGAAAGCGACUAUCUAUGCCAUUACUGACGCUAAGGUACGAAAGCGUGGGGAGCAAACAGG